UGGGGAAUUUUUGGACAAUGGGCGAAAGCCUGAUCCAGCAAUGCCGCGUGUGUGAAGAAGGCCUUCGGGUUGUAAAGCACUUUUGUCCGGAAAGAAAUCCUUGGCUCUAAUACAGGUCGGGGGAUGCGGUACCGGAAGAAUAAGCACCGGCUAACUACGUGCCAGCAGGCCGCGGUAAUACGUAGGGUGCAAGCGUUAAUCGGAAUUACUGGGCGUAAAGCGUGCGCAGGCGGUUUGCUAAGACCGAUGUGAAAUCCCCGGGCUCAACCUGGGAACUGCAUUGGUGACUGGCAGGCUAGAGUAUGGCAGAGGGGGGUAGAAUUCCACGUGUAGCAGUGAAAUGCGUAGAGAUGUGGAGGAAUACCGAUGGCGAAAGGCA
rnacentral:rRNA from 1 species